AGUACCCCGAGGAAAAGAAAUCAACCGAGAUUCCCCCAGUAGCGGCGAGCGAACGGGGAGCAGCCCAGAGCCUGAAUCAGUGUGUGUGUUAGUGGAAGCGUCUGGAAAGGCGUGCGAUACAGGGUGACAGCCCCGUACACAAAAAUGCACAUACUGUGAGCUCGAUGAGUAGGGCGGGACACGUGGUAUCCUGUCUGAAUAUGGGGGGACCAUCCUCCAAGGCUAAAUACUCCUGACUGACCGAUAGUGAACCAGUACCGUGAGGGAAAGGCGAAAAGAACCCCGGCGAGGGGAGUGAAAAAGAACCUGAAACCGUGUACGUACAAGCAGUGGGAGCACGCUUAGGCGUGUGACUGCGUACCUUUUGUAUAAUGGGUCAGCGACUUAUAUUCUGUAGCAAGGUUAACCGAAUAGGGGAGCCGAAGGGAAACCGAGUCUUAACUGGGCGUUAAGUUGCAGGGUAUAGACCCGAAACCCGGUGAUCUAGCCAUGGGCAGGUUGAAGGUUGGGUAACACUAACUGGAGGACCGAACCGACUAAUGUUGAAAAAUUAGCGGAUGACUUGUGGCUGGGGGUGAAAGGCCAAUCAAACCGGGAGAUAGCUGGUUCUCCCCGAAAGCUAUUUAGGUAGCGCCUCGUGAAUUCAUCUCCGGGGGUAGAGCACUGUUUCGGCAAGGGGGUCAUCCCGACUUACCAACCCGAUGCAAACUGCGAAUACCGGAGAAUGUUAUCACGGGAGACACACGGCGGGUGCUAACGUCCGUCGUGAAGAGGGAAACAACCCAGACCGCCAGCUAAGGUCCCAAAGUCAUGGUUAAGUGGGAAACGAUGUGGGAAGGCCCAGACAGCCAGGAUGUUGGCUUAGAAGCAGCCAUCAUUUAAAGAAAGCGUAAUAGCUCACUGGUCGAGUCGGCCUGCGCGGAAGAUGUAACGGGGCUAAACCAUGCACCGAAGCUGCGGCAGCGACGCUUAUGCGUUGUUGGGUAGGGGAGCGUUCUGUAAGCCUGUGAAGGUGUGCUGUGAGGUAUGCUGGAGGUAUCAGAAGUGCGAAUGCUGACAUAAGUAACGAUAAAGCGGGUGAAAAGCCCGCUCGCCGGAAGACCAAGGGUUCCUGUCCAACGUUAAUCGGGGCAGGGUGAGUCGACCCCUAAGGCGAGGCCGAAAGGCGUAGUCGAUGGGAAACAGGUUAAUAUUCCUGUACUUGGUGUUACUGCGAAGGGGGGACGGAGAAGGCUAUGUUGGCCGGGCGACGGUUGUCCCGGUUUAAGCGUGUAGGCUGGUUUUCCAGGCAAAUCCGGAAAAUCAAGGCCGAGGCGUGAUGACGAGGCACUACGGUGCUGAAGCAACAAAUGCCCUGCUUCCAGGAAAAGCCUCUAAGCAUCAGGUAACAUCAAAUCGUACCCCAAACCGACACAGGUGGUCAGGUAGAGAAUACCAAGGCGCUUGAGAGAACUCGGGUGAAGGAACUAGGCAAAAUGGUGCCGUAACUUCGGGAGAAGGCACGCUGAUACGUAGGUGAAGCGACUUGCUCGUGGAGCUGAAAUCAGUCGAAGAUACCAGCUGGCUGCAACUGUUUAUUAAAAACACAGCACUGUGCAAACACGAAAGUGGACGUAUACGGUGUGACGCCUGCCCGGUGCCGGAAGGUUAAUUGAUGGGGUUAGCGCAAGCGAAGCUCUUGAUCGAAGCCCCGGUAAACGGCGGCCGUAACUAUAACGGUCCUAAGGUAGCGAAAUUCCUUGUCGGGUAAGUUCCGACCUGCACGAAUGGCGUAAUGAUGGCCAGGCUGUCUCCACCCGAGACUCAGUGAAAUUGAACUCGCUGUGAAGAUGCAGUGUACCCGCGGCAAGACGGAAAGACCCCGUGAACCUUUACUAUAGCUUGACACUGAACAUUGAGCCUUGAUGUGUAGGAUAGGUGGGAGGCUUUGAAGUGUGGACGCCAGUCUGCAUGGAGCCGACCUUGAAAUACCACCCUUUAAUGUUUGAUGUUCUAACGUGGACCCGUGAUCCGGGUUGCGGACAGUGUCUGGUGGGUAGUUUGACUGGGGCGGUCUCCUCCUAAAGAGUAACGGAGGAGCACGAAGGUUGGCUAAUCCUGGUCGGACAUCAGGAGGUUAGUGCAAUGGCAUAAGCCAGCUUGACUGCGAGCGUGACGGCGCGAGCAGGUGCGAAAGCAGGUCAUAGUGAUCCGGUGGUUCUGAAUGGAAGGGCCAUCGCUCAACGGAUAAAAGGUACUCCGGGGAUAACAGGCUGAUACCGCCCAAGAGUUCAUAUCGACGGCGGUGUUUGGCACCUCGAUGUCGGCUCAUCACAUCCUGGGGCUGAAGUAGGUCCCAAGGGUAUGGCUGUUCGCCAUUUAAAGUGGUACGCGAGCUGGGUUUAGAACGUCGUGAGACAGUUCGGUCCCUAUCUGCCGUGGGCGCUGGAGAACUGAGGGGGGCUGCUCCUAGUACGAGAGGACCGGAGUGGACGCAUCACUGGUGUUCGGGUUGUCAUGCCAAUGGCACUGCCCGGUAGCUAAAUGCGGAAGAGAUAAGUGCUGAAAGCAUCUAAGCACGAAACUUGCCCCGAGAUGAGUUCUCCCUGACCCUUUAAGGGUCCUGAAGGAACGUUGAAGACGACGACGUUGAUAGGCCGGGUGUGUAAGCGCAGCGAUGCGUUGAGCUAACCGGUACUAAUGAACCGUGAGGCUUAACCUUACAACGCCGAAG
rnacentral:rRNA from 1 species